rnacentral:rRNA from 1 species
GAUGAACGCUGGCGGCGUGCCUAAUACAUGCAAGUCGAGCGAACGGACGAGAAGCUUGCUUCUCUGAUGUUAGCGGCGGACGGGUGAGUAACACGUGGAUAACCUACCUAUAAGACUGGGAUAACUUCGGGAAACCGGAGCUAAUACCGGAUAAUAUUUUGAACCGCAUGGUUCAAAAGUGAAAGACGGUCUUGCUGUCACUUAUAGAUGGAUCCGCGCUGCAUUAGCUAGUUGGUAAGGUAACGGCUUACCAAGGCAACGAUGCAUAGCCGACCUGAGAGGGUGAUCGGCCACACUGGAACUGAGACACGGUCCAGACUCCUACGGGAGGCAGCAGUAGGGAAUCUUCCGCAAUGGGCGAAAGCCUGACGGAGCAACGCCGCGUGAGUGAUGAAGGUCUUCGGAUCGUAAAACUCUGUUAUUAGGGAAGAACAUAUGUGUAAGUAACUGUGCACAUCUUGACGGUACCUAACCAGAAAGCCACGGCUAACUACGU